rnacentral:rRNA from 1 species
AAUUGGUCAUUAAUGUAAUGUACCUACCAGUUCCCAAUUGAUCACUGAAGUUAAGCAACGUCGCACUUGGUUGUUAUCAAGAUGGGUGACCAUCUGGGCAAUCUGGGUUUUCCCAUAC